rnacentral:lncRNA from 1 species
CCUUUGCUUCACCAACACCAGUUUACACUCCACUCCCAGGCUCCUUCUAUUGACGGCGUGUUUCAGUGUUCUAUGUGUGGUAUCUUUCACCAUGGAUUUGUCUACAGUUGUGAUAAAUGUGCUUUGCAAACUGGCGGAAACCUUCUCCUCGACAGUGAGUGCAUUAUGUAUUGGGAGAACAGGGAUCUUAAACAUGAGUCUCAUGCUCACCGCCUCCUCCUCGACAUGAAUUGGGAGGAGGACAUCUGUUGCAGGGGUUGCGGUUCCAAAAUAUUUUUCUGCUUCAGUUGUAAGAGAUGCAAUUUUCAUCUUUGCAUAGCCUGUGUUAGAUUACCUCUUACUGGUACGCAUCGAUACGACAAGCAUGUUCUAAAGCUCACCUAUGCUAGUAGAAUUGAAGACGAAGUUGUAGGUUACUACUGUGAGAUAUGUGAAGGGAAAAGGGAUCCAGCACAUUGGUUCUACUGGUGCAAAGAUUGCAACUUUGACUGUCAUCCUCAUUGCAUCAUAGGGAGGUAUCCCCGAGUUAAGUUGGGGAGCACUUACAAGCACAACGAUCAUGUCCAACACCAAGUCACUCUUGUUAGCAAGUGGAAGAGCCCCAUUCGGGGCGAUAAGAGGGACAACAUUCUUCCUUGUGAGAGGUGCCAUGAACUUUGCCAAGGAUUAGUAUUUGAAUGCAGAGAAUGCAAUAUCAAUUUCCAUCGAGAUGGAUGUUGUGGAGCUACAGAUUCAGCAAGUUCUAGCAGGUCACCUCAGAUCGAAGAGCUAAGUUAAUGUCCCUGAAUUUCCUAGUUGAUUCAUUCUUAUUUUCUACGUUCAUUGUUGUAUGAGAUUGAGGUCAUUAUUUGGAGAAGGUGAUGACACAUACUACCACCUUUUUUAUUUUCUUUUUGCUUUUUUUGUAAUGACACAGAAUAUUGUAUGAGAUUGUAUGUCGUUCGUCUGUUUUCUUUCUUGCAAUUUUCCUGCUAUACAAUGGAAAAGUAUUUUAUUGGCAUUUCCAAGUACACAAACGUUAUUCAAGAUAGCAAAUAGUUAUCUUUUAUUCCUAAGAAAAGUUCUCUAGGUUUCUCUCUAGGGUUUUUACAACUUUAGGUAUGUCUUGCGUUUCAAUGAGGAAGAUGAGCGAAAUCAGGUGGUGGAGGGUGGUCCAUGGUUUCACGGUAAAACCAUGUUUGCCCUAGCCUAUGAUGGUCGCACUGCUGCUGCAGAGGUUCCGAUCCGGUCUAUUCCGGUUUGGGUGGAGGUCUUCAGUCUUCCGCCAAUUCUGACGACGACCAAGGAAACCUUGUACAUGGUUUGUGCUACGCUUGGAAAGAGUGUUCACCAUGAUAACCAUAAUUUGCUGUCCGGUGCGCGUGCUAGGGUUCGGAUCGAGCACGGCCUCGACUCUCCGGUGAAACAAGCAUACCCCCGAUGCGGUUUGAUUUCGGCGAAGGUAAAGAUCUGACCUCCGUCUUGCUUACUUUCAAGUAUAUGCGUGUGUAUGGUUAUUGAAGGACCUGUGGUAUGAUUGAACACCCGGCGGGUGGCUGUCUGGGGCCGCCAGACAUGUCGGCGGCUGUUCUGUGUAGUGGAGGAGGUUCCGGUGCAAACCAAAACCCUAACCGUAGCCUAGGGCUUUUGGUUUUCCUGGAACCCCAUUCCGGCCCCCCGGCCAUUCUUAGAGCAAUUGAAAAACGUCAGUGAAGUUCACCAUAAAAGAAGUAACAAAUUGGGAAGCACACUUGUCUUUUGUGUUCAUGCUAGAACUACAUUGACAAGGCCAAUAGAAAUGCACUGAACCACUCCUACGGAAAGGGUCACGGAAAACCUAUUUGGUUAAAACCUGCCGCCCGCCAGCUAUUCACAAGUCUAGUCCUUUGGCAGUGCCCACCGUUACCUAGCUGGUUUUGCUGGUUUAACAUGGAGCAACAGUAAGUUGUAACGUAGCUUUUAAUCUUGCUAGUUUGUAUUAUCCUAUUUCGUCUUCGAUUUGGAAUCAUGAAUCAUGAUCGAUAACUUCCCAUAUAGAAGGGAUAUGUAGAAUUGUAGAUCACUUGACCACAAUCUUACGAGUUCGUAAGAUUUUUCUAUUCUAUAUGUAUGGGUGCCAGUGGAAAUGCUAUAUAUAUGACCUCAUGAUUUAGAGGCAACUGAGAGAAGCCUACGGAUAGCUCAUCUUUCCGUUUACCCCCUUUGAUAAGAAGUAUCAAGAUUUAUCAAUAGAAAAUGAUAUAAAGCUAGGAAUAGAAACUGCAAAGCAAAAGCCAAUUAGACCUGUCAAAGAAAAUAGAAACUAUAGAAAAGAAGCUAGUACGAAUCCAUAAGAGAUAUAGAUAUAGAUUAAUAAUCGUGAGAAAGAAAGAAGAAAGUAGAUACUAGAUACCUGAGUAAGAAAGAAAGGAUAACAAAAAAAAAAGAAGAGAGAGAGAGACAGACAAGAGAGAGAGAGAGAGAAGCUAACCAAAGCAAGCAGUGUCUUGAACUGGUCAAAAAAUAUAAAGAGUAGAGUUUCUUAAGCUCAGUGAUUGUAGAUAAUAAGCAAAAGAAACAGCACCCAUGUAGUAAAACACUUCAUUAUUCUGGAUUCUGAUCUUUAAUAUCCUUUUGUUUCUUUGAAGGUAUAAGGAUAAUUGGCAAUCCUUUAUCCUACAAAACACCUUGAAAUAUUGGCAUCUGAACAAGAACAAGUGUCACUAACAUCGCUUAUGGUUUCAGGUAAAACAUGCAUUUGCAUAUCACUGUUUUUCACAGAGGUUAUCAGCUUCGCUUGCUAUCCUUGUACUGAGUCUUUUGUUGUCCUGAUUUUCAAAGAACUUGUUAUAUUAGUUAAUUAGGUCUUUGUUGAUUUUCAAAUUCAAAUGGACAACUGUGUUGGUGGGAAGUGCCUUGGCGCUCAAACCAGUCUAAGGGUUGAGAUCUUUUGUUAUGUCAACCCGUGACCAAAUGGUUUGAUGCUCAAGGCUCCAGCUUGGUUUUUAUGAUACAUUAUCCAAUACAAAGCUGGUCCCUGUGUGAUUCAAAGACCAGUCGCUAUCGGCUGUGUCAAGGUCCACUAAUGGAUUGAGUAAGAGGGUUUGAAACCUCUUUGCUCCCUGUUUUGAAUCGUUCAUGUUUUAGGAAAGGUAUCUUUGUCUUAUUAAGGUUGCUUGUGUCAACUCUCCAUUUGGUUACAUCACUUUCAGUAUGGGAGCCAAACACUUCAAUCCAAACCUUUAUGAAACAUGUUGAGGUCAGCUUGCAUCAUCUUUGAUGCCUUGUCUGCCUAUAUAUAUUUAUAGCUUUGGCUUUGCUCAAUGGUUGUUGAAAACUGUCUUAUUGGGUUUUCUUUGUUGAGUCUAGUUUUUAGCUUGCAUUGUUCAUGCUGCUCUAAGUCUUCUUCGUGACUGUAAACCUUAGAGCUUGAACUCAAAACUUCUUUCAUCAACUCAUAUCAUGUUGCAUACCAUGAGGGAUGUGUAGUGCAACCAACCUAAGAAGCGUUCAAGGUUGAAUCUGCUAGUGGUUAGCUGAAUUCAUGAACAAGGCUUCUAAAAGUGUUCCAUGUUGUAAGAGCUUAGAAACAAGAGAGGGAAUAGGUCUAGACUAGUUUGGGACUAGGAAGGAUAGCAUUGUGGUAAUGUAUCACUAGAACUAUUAUUCUUGUAAGAAGUUACUUCAACUUAGAGAAAAAAUUUUGUCUCUCAAGAGUUAGAGACACGCAGUUUUUCUCUCUGCAUUCAGGGUUUCUGCGAGUAAAAAAAUAUCCUUAUGUUGUUUCUUUAUUUGCUGCAAUUUACUUUCUGCAAACUUGUAUCCUGUGAAUCUGGGAUAGCACAAGUAAUUGCUAUCGGCGAUUACAGAAAUUAACGAAAAUUCAAAAAAACCUAUUCAUCCCCCUGCCCCCCCGGACCUUUAUUCUUCUUUUUUUCUUUUUUCUUUUUCAGCAAUACGUAUCGACCUUUAAUUUCUUGGUCUGUUGUAUCGUGUUUGCUACUAUACUUCCUUAUAUAGAUUCCGGCCUCCAUAUAUACCUUAGCUUUAACAAAUAGCAAGUCCAGACUCUCCAUAACCAGAGUUCUAGAGCUAUAUAUGGUAUGGACCCUAUUAUUUCAGUCGCUGCAUAGAUCGACUGAUUGAACAUUUCGGAAAAUCCGAUCCCUGAACUAGAACUAAGGUAUGCAUGCUUGUCAUAAAUCACUCUUAUCUUUUUUGUUUUGGAAAUUCUUUUUCUUAACUAAAAUAUUGUCAUUGUUGAACCUUGAACUUUUAUCUACCUGAAAUUAUUGUAGCUUAAUUAUUAAUUUCCAAGUCAUGUAGCCUGAUUAUGCAAUGUAUGUUCAUAUAAACUAGUUUUAAACUUUUAGUUAAUAGACUAGUACUCAUAGUAAACUAGUUUAGGGUGCUGAAAUAAUUAGAUACUGAUUGAAUGCUGAUAAACAGAGACAAAAGAACCAGAAAUGGAUGAUGAUCAGCUAAAACACUUCAGUCAUGAGCAUCCCUUGGCAUUCAAGGAAGAGGCGCCACCGAAAAAUGAAGCAUCAGGUCAACCAGUUUUAUGCUCUGCCUGUGGGGAGCCAGUGCUUGGUUCUUACUACAGUUGCAAUCAAUGUUCCAACGAAUUCAUUCUCCACAAGCCAUGCGCGCAGCUAGGCAGAGAGAUCCAGCACCCGAUGCACGAACACACACUUACUAUUCUCACAAAGGAUUCCAGACCAUACAGAUCCUAUAUUUGUGAUAUGUGUGGAGCAGCAUCCCGUGCCGAAUCUUACUCUUGUUAUGAGUGUGAAUUUGAUCUUGACUUCAAAUGUGCUGCCGACAGAGAUUGUAUAAAACAUUUCAGUCACAAGCAUUUGUUGAAGUUUAUUGAAAAGCCACAUGAUGAUGGUUCACCAGUUUUUUGUAUUGGGUGUUUAGAGCCAGUGCUUGGUCCUUGUUACACUUGCAAACUGAGUUUGGAGAUGGAGAGGAAUAGAAGCUGCUCCCUUUUUCUGCAUAAAUCAUGUGCAGAGUUACGUCGUGAGAUCCAGCAUCCGAUGCAUCACCAACACGCGCUCACUCUUAACCUAAAUGCAGCAAGAGAAUACUACUGCGUUGCAUGUGACCAAGAAUGUAGUCGCAAAUUCAGUUAUAGUUGUUUCAAAUGUGACUUCAACCUAGACCCCAAAUGUGCAUCUGAGGAAGGCUACAAACAUUUCAGUCACGAGCAUCCAUUAAUGUUCAAGAAGCAAGGAACCACAAAAAGAGAGUCUGAUCAUUUAGUUAUUUGCGAUGCAUGCCAGGUUCCAGUAUUUGGUCCUAGUUACACUUGCAUCAAUAUAAAUCGUCGUCGCAGAUGCAGCUUCAAUCUCCAUAAGUCAUGUGCAGAUUUACGUCUUGAGAUCCAGCACCCGGUGCACCGUCAACAUCGGCUUUCUCUUCUCAAUACAAUUGAGAAUAUCAAAGUUCGUUGCUUUUGCAAUGCCUGCAAUCAACCUUGCAGAUACCGCUACAGCUGUACCAUUUGCGACUUCAACCUUGACCUCAAAUGUGCCUCAAAUUGGCAAAACAUUAUUGACAAUGACUCUCACCAACAUCAGUUCAUAGUCCCCCGGAAGGAAUUGGCCGAGCUCCACCUUAACUGCGACGUCUGUGGGGAGUACUGGAGUGGCGUCAUGAUCUACAUUUGUAGCAUCUGCCAACUCUUGGUCCAUGAAGAAUGUGCUUCAGUUCCACACUACACCAACAUACCCGGGCACCAACACGGCCUCAAGCUAACCUGGUUCCUUGAAGACAUUUACCCCAAGGACCAGGUCUGUAACAUCUGCUCUACGAAUAUUAAUAACUGUCGUACUGUAUAUUAUUGUCAGGAAUGUGGAAGCUAUGUUGCACACACUACAUGCAUAUUUCUGAAAGAAGAAACCCAAAGCAGAACCAUUAUUAUUGAUGAUGAUUAUGACUCUGAUGAUGAUUGGAUGAUCACACACUUCAGUCAUCACCAUCUUUUAUAUGAUGAUCGUCGGCAGGUUAAGGCUGACAGAAUGAUUACCUGUGAGGGUUGCUUUCGACCCAUCACUAAAGAAUUUUACAGCGGUAUUGAGUCUUGCCACUUUUAUCUCCACAAAACAUGUGCUCGAUUACCAAAAAAGAUGCUUCUCCCUUUGCUUCACCAACACCAGUUUACACUCCACUCCCAGGCUCCUUCUAUUGACGGCGUGUUUCAGUGUUCUAUGUGUGGUAUCUUUCACCAUGGAUUUGUCUACAGUUGUGAUAAAUGUGCUUUGCAAACUGGCGGAAACCUUCUCCUCGACAGUGAGUGCAUUAUGUAUUGGGAGAACAGGGAUCUUAAACAUGAGUCUCAUGCUCACCGCCUCCUCCUCGACAUGAAUUGGGAGGAGGACAUCUGUUGCAGGGGUUGCGGUUCCAAAAUAUUUUU